UAAGAUCUUCUAGAUCUAAUGAGAUCUGGGGCGGAAUAUUACAAAAAAAAUAUCCUAUGAUUAUUUCAGAUCUAAGAUCUAUUAGAUCUGAUUUCUAUUAUUUGAUAUUAAAUUUAAAAUUAAAUCUAAAAUCAUGAGGAAUAGAGAAAUACCUCUAGGGUAACUAAAUUAUCCUGUAGAUGAUCACAGCAAUACCCGAGGUUCUAAAAUAGCCACGC
rnacentral:lncRNA from 1 species